UUUUAAAAUUGCAUAGGAGUGUGGUUUCUGCAGUGCUCUCUCUUGUACUCAGGAUGCAAAACUACUGCAUCCUCUGGAUGGUGGGGACAUGAGCCUGAAGUGUGGACACCAGCAUGGACUGGAGCUGAGCAAAUGAGUGAACACUGCCGCAGGCAGCAAUAAUCAAGAGAAAGCAAGAUGGAGGCUUUGGGGGCAGCCUAUAAAUUGUCAAUGAAGAUUUCCCUGCUAGACUAACCUGGUGUUGCCAUACUUGCUGCUAUUCUUGCACUUCAUUCCUGUUCCCUCAGUGAGGUUUUUUAAAAGCACAAUCAGCUGUGCUGGACUCCUUUCCCUUUCAGACGGGCCUCCCAGGGGAUCCUGCACAUCGGAAAAGCAGGCUUCAACUCACUCUGGGAACUGAAGUCCAGGGCCCUUACUCUGCUGUUCUUCUUCCUUUCUUCAGGAUCCUAAACUCGAUCAUUAGGAUCCUGAACUUCAUUAUAGAAUAAUCUGCACUGCUAUGAAAUAGGAGCUUCAUUACUCAGACCAGCUAACUGACAGUAGAAUUGCAGAACAAAGGGUAGUUUGAUUGGUGGAACAUCAAGAAGAAAAAAGGGUCAAUAACACCUGGACAAUGAAGCCUUUACAAGGUAUCAGGUAGAUUAUACUGAGCCAUGAAGCCAAUUAACUCCGUCAACACCACUACCAAAUGAGAAAUGCUGCUACCGUUGUCAAGCAGCUGCUUUUAACCUUUGAGUGGACCAGGAAUCAAAGUGGGGUACAAGUGUACCAGUGCAGCCCUCUUCCCCUGGUGCUAGUACAUUGUAAGCAUAGGAAAGGGACCAGAAAGUGAUCAACAUAUCAAAAUUUUGUAAUGUACAAAAGGCCUUAUACGUUCAAGUGCCAUCUGGAUGUCCAGACAAUUUGACAUGUGGUGUUUAAUCUUCAGUUAAAC